CAUGGUUACUCCCUUGACCUUUUCUGAUAUCAUUGUGGAAGAUGCCAAGACAUCAAAUCCUGCUUCUUAUUUUACUAUCCCUACCAUUCAGCGACCUGUCACUUCAUCUUGCUGCCUCACAUAGUUAAGAGUUCUCAGCUGGAGCAUAGGACCUUUGAGGGAUAUCUCUGGCCAUUCUUACAAGGAGUUUGUAAGUGAAUGCUCUUAUUAUUUCCUAUGCAAUUAUUUUUCCUCCUAGAUUAACCAGUGGCAAUACCAAGCAUAUUCAUCUAUUAAAACCAAGAUUAGUUCUUUGCUGUCAAAGGUCAUAGGAGCAAUAGGAAAUAACUUCUAUUUCAGUAUAUUUGUAGAGGAGUGCACAUUCUUGACCACAUUGCCCAGGAGCUUUCAGUGUAGAACAGAGAUGUGGUCUGUCUGCAGCGUACUUACAGACUCCAAAGAUGAGAGGAUGUCAAAUGGCAGAAGCAACUACCUGAGGGAGAUGACCAAACAGGAUUCUAAGAAAGCUAGCGUUGGCUCAAGAUGAUUUGAAGAUAUAAUAAAAGACUGUGGGAGGUGGCUACUGAGCACGAAAGGAUCCUGGGACAGGAUAAAUAGGGGCACCACUCAGACUAACUUCUGAUUCAUCAAGUUCAAAGUUACCUUUUUCUUGAUUAUAAGAUGAAAAUGAGGUAUGUGUUAGACUUGGGGGUUCAGAGAUAGCUAGGGUGGAAGGUACAGCAUAAGCUUUUAAGGUACUGUUUCUUACCUAUGCCAUUGCACACAAGCUCUUUGAGUUAAAAGAAGGCAGAAUGGCAGGCACACUAUUUCUUCCAUGUUUUGGUGCUGGAUGGCACUGACCUUUUGACCAGCAUCACGUAAAUAACAGGUAUUAUUUUUUGAGGAACUACUGUGGUUUAGAUAAUGUAUGUACCUUCAUUUAAUCCUCACAGCAACUCUGUGAGGUAGGUAGUAUCCUCCCUAAUUUUCAGGUGAGGAAACAAAGGCUCAGAGGAAUAAAUAAAGCCACUUUUUUGUCCAUGGCAGUGAGAUCACAGUGCUCCUCAUAUUCAGUCCUAAAGAAAAUGCUUUGACUCUAGUGUUUUCCUUCUAACAAAAAGUAGUUUAUUAGUUCUGUCCCAUCAACUUAAUUCUCACUAAUCUCUCUCAUUAAAUGGCAAUUUAUUGGAGGUAGAACAUUAUAAAUGGGAUAGUAUGUUUAUCUCUGCCUGAAGAGGAAAAAAAGGGGAAAGGCUGAUUCUAGAAAGCUAAUUUUUUAGCUUAAAAUUGCACAGUCUCCCUAGAACAUGUGUCAGUGGCAAAUUGUUGGAGGAGAGUAUGGGUCAACAGCACCAGGACCAAUAGGCUUUCUUGUUAGCUAGUGGGGAGUCAGGGGGAAACAGCUUUCUCCAGUGCCCUCUGCUGCCCUACCCCUUUGCCCCCUCCUCCCACUCCAGUGUCCCUAUCUUUGGUAAAGGCUGCUUGUUGGCUUUUUGUUUUAUUCUCCAUGUGUCAGUGGUCCUGUAGGAGAGGCAUUAGUGAGACAAGUCAGUGGAAAGAGUAUCACAUCAGACUGAAUCUGACCCCUGCUUCUGAUACAGGUUAACCCCUCUGAGACUUAGUUUCCUUGUCCAUAAAAUGGGAAAAUCAUACUUAACGGGGUUCUAAGAUAAUGGGUAUAAAUUCACAGUAUCUGUCUCAUGAAGAAGAUGAAUAAGUGGCAGCAGUUAUUAAUGUGAUGCCAGUUUUGUAUGUCAUAAGUUGUGUUAGGGUGAGAGAUGAUAAAGCCAGAGAGGGAUGGGAUGCAGAUGCAAGAGGAGACGGUUCAUGUAGUGAGCGCUUAACUUCGUUAGCUUCAUCAACUACUAGCCUUCCACAACAAGCUUGAGUCCUUGGGAAUUUAGAGCUCACCUACAACCCCUAGGUUUUGGGUUGUUUUGUUUUUGUUUCUUCUGAAAGAUGGCGAGCAGAUGAUCUGCUGGUAUUACCAACUCUUGUUGGAGAGCUGGAAGUCUCCAUGAACUUCAUAAGCUAUUACCAUAAAUUGGGAAAGAGGAGUUAUUUGUGUUAGGCAUUGUGGUUGUGUAAUUUCCUUUCAUCCUUACAACAGCCCUCUAGCAGAGGCUGUGCCUUGCCCAUUUCCCCUGGGCACUCACCAUUCUAUUACAUACUCACAAUGUCCUAUUGCAAGAACUUUCCACUCGCUGCCUUAGCAUGUCUCUAGACUUGUGUGUGGCACAGGCUGGGAAAGCUAGGACUUAAGCCCCUGAGGCAGUCCUCAGCUAGUGAAAAAUGGAAGUUGGAGGAUAAAUACUUGAGCCUCAUUCCCCACUAGAGUUCCCAGAGUUCCUCUGUGGGAUUGAGCCUCUGUAGCUCCCAGCAGCAACUUAAUUAUGGUAUGUGUUCUGUUGGUUUCCUUUUAUUCCUACCUCAUUUCCAGCUCUGUUGUCAGUGGUUUCUGGAUCAGGGCUGGGACUAGGGUAAGGGACCCUCACCACAUAAGGGCAGAGUUGGCACUUAUGUGAUGGUAUGAGGGCCUUUUUACAUUUUGUAGAUAGGCAUUCAUAAGCAUCACCCUAAUUCUAGCCUGGCUGGGAUUGCUUCCCAGUUAAGGUAUUUGCACUCAAAUUAGGUCUGCCUCUGGGGAAACCCAAACUAAGGCAAAUCCUAUGGAGAAAUUAGUCUCCGUGUUUUAUCCUUGGAAAACUGAGGCCCAGAGAAUUGAAGAGAUUUGCCUAAUGUCAUACAGCUGGUAAAUGGGAUGGGAUUUGAACCCAGGUCUGCCUGACACUAGAGCUGAUGCUCUCUGUACUUCACUACACUACCUCCUGCAUCUCACUUGAGUGCCAAAACUCAACGGAAAUUUUAAGUUUGGAUGGACUCAUUCUCACCUGUGAGGCAGAAUAGCUUUAGCCUUAAGUUGAUUUAGUAGAUAGAAAUUGGGCUGAGGGGAAGGCAGUAAGUGGGUGGUAGUACCAUUGGGAAGAUAGAAGAAUAUAUAAACCCAGAGUGGAAAGGCUGCUAAAGCCAUAUGCACCAGGAAGGAAGAGGUUACUUAUUUCCUCUCAGUUUCUAAAGCCCUGGACUGGGGCACCUGGGUGGCUCAGUGGCUGAGCAUCUGCCUUCAGCUCAGGUCGUGAUCCCGGGGUCCUGGGAUCGAGUCCCAUAUCAAGCUCCUUGCAGGGAGCCUGCUUCUCCCUCUACCUAUGUCUCUGUGCCUCUCUCUCUCUCUCUCUUUCUCUCGUUCUCUCUCACCAAUAAAUAAAAUCUUAAAAAAAAAAAAAAAAA
rnacentral:lncRNA from 1 species